UACGGGGGGGGCAAGCGUUGUUCGGAAUUACUGGGCGUAAAGCGCGUGUAGGCGGCAAUACAAGUCGGAUGUGAAAUCCCGCGGCUUAACCGUGGAAGUGCACCCGAAACUGUAUCGCUAGAGUCCCGGAGAGGAUGGUGGAAUACUUGGUGUAGAGGUGAAAUUCGUAGAUAUCAAGUGGAACACCGGUGGCGAAGGCGGCCAUCUGGACGGUGACUGACGCUGAGACGCGAAAGCGUGGGUAGCAAACAGG
rnacentral:rRNA from 1 species